rnacentral:rRNA from 1 species
UACGGAGGGAGCAAGCGUUACUCGGAAUUAUUGGGCGUAAAGGGCGCGUAGGCGAUUCGAUAAGUCUCAUGUGAAAUCCCAGGGCCUAACCCUGGAAUGGCAUGGGAUACUGUUGGAUUUGAGUUCCGGAGAGGAAGGCAGAAUUCCCGGUGUAGCGGUGAAAUGCGUAGAUAUCGGGAGGAAUACCAGUGGCGAAGGCGGCCUUCUGGACGGAUACUGACGCUGAGGCGCGAAAGCCAGGGGAGCAAACGGG